AGGGAUGUGGCUCGGUGGUAGAGAAUUUGCUUGGCAUGCAGAAGGUCCCAUGUUCAAUCAUUGGCAUCUCCA